AAAAUUAAAUUUUUAUAUUAUAUUAAUAUUAGUAAUUUUUUAUUUUUAAAAAUAUUUAAAAAUAUUAAUUUUUUAGUAUUUUAAUUAGAAAAAAUAUAAUUGAUUUAAAAAUUGUAAAAUAAUUUAUUUAAUUAAUUAAAAGAUUUAUUAAUUUUAGUUUCCUUUUGUAUUAGGAUAAAUUAAAUUAAAUUAAAUUAAACUUUAAUAUUUCGAAAUAAAAAUAAAUAAAUUUGAAUGAUAGUUAAUAUAAAAUUAUUAUUAUUAAUUCUAAUUUAGUGAUGAUAUAUUAUUCAAUUUUUAUAUAUCUAAUUUUUUAAUAAAUGAAUUUAAUUUAAAUAAAUUUUUAUUUUAGGAUAAUUAAUUAUUUUAAAAAAUGUUAUUUAUAAAUCAUUAAAGGUUACAAAAUUUUUAUGAGUAUUAAAAAAUUAUUAGAUGGAUAAGUUUUAUAAAUUAUUAAAAUUAUUUUUACUAAAAUUUUAUAGUUUAAAUUUAAAAUUUAAAAAUUUUUUUUGUUUUUAAUAAUUUUAUUAAAAUUUAAUUUAAAAUAAAUUUUAAAUUAAGAAUAAUUAUUUAAUUAGUAUAUAUAAAAAAUAUAAAUAAUUUUUAAUUUUGGGAAUUAAAUUUAAAUAAUUAGGCAAAAUUUAUUUUCACUUGUUUAACAAAAACAUGGUUUAAUAAAAAAAAUUUUAAAUUAAAUCUGUUCAAUGAAUUUAAUAAAUUUAAAUAAUUGCAGUAUUUUAACUGUGCAAAGGUAGCAUAAUCAUUUGUUUUUUAAUUGGGAACUGGAAUGAAAGAUUUAAUGAAAAAUAAACUUUUUUAAAUUUAAAGGUAGAAUUUAUUUAUAAAAUAAAAAAAUUUUAAUGAAUAUAAAAAACGAUAAGACCCUAUAAAAUUUAAUAUUUUAUAAAAAUAUUUUUAUUUAAAUAAUUAUUUUAAUUAGAGUAUUUAAUUGGGGUGAUUCAAUAAUUUUAAACUUUUUGAGUUAAAUUAAGAAAUUUAAUAAAAUUAUUUUAUAAUGUAAAUUUAGUUAGUAAAAUAAAUUACUUUAGGGAUAACAGCAUAAUUUUUUUAUAUAGUUCUAAUUUAAAAAAAAGAUUAUGACCUCGAUGUUGAAUUAAAAUAAAAAAUUUACAGAAAAAGGUAGUUUAUUUAGUCUGUUCGACUAUAAAAUUUUACAUGAUUUGAGUUCAAAUCGGCGUGAGCCAGAUUGGUUUCUAUUUUUAUAAAAAUUUUAAUUAAUUGUACGAAAGGAAUUUUUUUAGAAUAUUUUGAUUAUUAAAAUAAAUGAU
rnacentral:rRNA from 1 species